rnacentral:rRNA from 1 species
GAUGAACGCUGGCGGCGUGCCUAAUACAUGCAAGUCGAACGAGGUGCUUUUGUAGCAAUACGAGAGUAUCCUAGUGGCGAACGGGUGAGUAACGCGUUGGUGACCUACCCCAAAGUGUGGGAUAACAGUCCGAAAGGAUUGCUAAUACCGCAUGUGGUCUUCGGGUUUAGAAACUGAUGACUAAAGGAGCAAUUCGCUUUGGGAGGGACCUGCGUCCCAUCAGCUAGUUGGUGAGGUAAUGGCUCACCAAGGCUACGACGGGUAGGGGACCUGAGAGGGUGACCCCCCACAAUGGAACUGAAACACGGUCCAUACACCUACGGGUGGCAGCAGUAGGGAAUAUUGCACAAUGGGCGAAAGCCUGAUGCAGCAACGCCGCGUGUGCGAUGAAGGCCUUCGGGUCGUAAAGCACUUUUCGGGAGAUGAGCAAGGACAGUAUCUCAGGAAUAAGUCUCGGCUAACUACGUGCCAGCAGCCGCGGUAAAAUGCGUAC